rnacentral:lncRNA from 1 species
GGUGAAGGAUUUCUGUUGUUCUGCUGGAACAACUGGAGAUGGAGUAUGGUGAGAAAAAUACCACUCCUGUCUGUCUGAACCUUGAGGGCAGCUGCCUGUAGCCAGCAGCUCUUCAGUGUGAGAGGCUGAACAGAUCCUGAAACCCUUUGGAGCAGAUUAUCUCUUUCAAGAGAGAAUCCCACUCUGUUUAGCUCCCUUGAAGACACCUUAUACCUUUGGCUAUUACUGUUGCACUAUCCUACAUCUUUUCUGCGUCUCCUACACAUUUUUGAGCUGGAAUGACCAAACCUGCAGGCACAGACUAAGAUGGGACCUCAUCAGAUUGGUGAAAUUUCUCUCUUUGGUCAUUUUUCCCUUGCUUGGUUGGCAAUUGUCUCCUAAACUUCAGCUGAGCUCUGAGUUUUCCAUGAGAUGCAAAGAUUUAAAGAGCUGGCAGGAAGAGCCCCUGAAGGGGAUGGCAGGAAUGUUCUUUUCCUCUUUGCUGUUCCUCUAAGGAGCACAGCAGGCACUGGAUAC